UCCAUUUACAUUUUGAGUUGAUUUUGACUAUCAAAGGAAUAAAAGAAAGGAAAAAAAAUAUUAAAGCUUUCAUCUUUUCCUCCCUUUGUGUUGUCCCCCUUCGUGAAAGAAGAGAAAAAUUUCUAUUCUCAUUUCUUCCUUCUCUCUCUUAGAUCCAACAAAAAAAAAAUCUUCACUACCAAAGUUUGUUAAAAUCUCAUAGAAAACCCAUUUGUAAACCUAAUUCCACCAUCACAUUCAUCAUUAGAAGCAAGGGUUUUCAUGAGCUAGAGAAAGCUUGAGUUAGUAUGAGAAAGUGAAGAAUAAGGUAAUCUCUAGCAAUAGAUGUAUCGUGCAGUGGAGGGCUCGACGAUGACCACCACUAGUCAUGUGUUGAUUUUAUGAGUAAUCUCCAACAGUGGAUGGAUCGGUGCAGUGGAGGGCUUGACGAUGACCACCACUAGUCAUGUGUUGAUUUUAUGAGUUACAUUCUAUUUUAUUAUUCAUUCAUUUAACAUUUAUCUUCGAGAUUAUUUUUGUAUUUAGGCUCGAACUGUUUUGGAUUUAUUUUGGGAUUUUUAACUUCUUUAACUUUGUUGAUUUAUAAACGGCCACACCACAAAUACGUUUUGGAACCUUAACUUAAGAGUUUUCGUAAAAA